UCACUUUGGCAGCCAAUAUAUUAAGAUUGAAACAAUACAGAGGAGAUUAGCAUGGCCCCUGUGCAAGGAUGACAUACAAAUUCGUGAAACAUUCCAUAUUUUA